UGCCAGGAAUCAAACCUAGGACCUCAACGCCAGUUAACAUGCCAUACUCUCCCACCAUUGAACAAUAUCCAGAGACUGCUGACACAUCUUUCUUUGUGCUCACACAAGUUCAUAUGCAGAGUGCUGUCACAUUCCCCCUCUACUGCCUGCUGAUCAAGAUGUAGAACUCUUGGCUCCUCCAGUACCAUAUCUGCCUGCAUGCUGCCAUGUUUUCCACUAUGAUGAUAGAAGACUGAACCUCUGCAACUAUAUGUUCUGCUUUCAUGAAAUUCAAAAGGGAAGAUAACAACAUCUGAGAGACACAAACUAUCUAUUUCCUCUGAAAUAAAACUUCAAGCAUGACAGCUAGUUAUAACUCACUUUGCUAUGGCAUUGUAUGCUGAAUUGGAUGACAACUUUCACACCGUUCUGUGUGUUCAAACUCCAAACGGUGCUUUUCACCAUCGGAGGAGCCAGAAUGCAGAUGGGAUUCAGUGUGCUUGUUGAAUGCUGGGACCAGAGAAGUGGCUCGGCAGUUAAGAGGACCUGGCAGCUCUUCCAGAGGACCUGUGUUUGAUUCCCAGAACUCCUAUGGUAGCUCAAAACCGUGUGUCUCCAAUCAUAGGGAGUCCAGCGUCCUCGUCUGGCCUCCAUGAGCACUGCAUGCAUAAGGUGCACAAACAUAAAUGCCAGCAAAAAUAAAAAUCCGUACACAGAAAAAUAACGAAGUGUUCAAAAAGCUUUUCAAGUAAACAGAUGCCAGAUUGGUGUGUUAUAUUCAAGCGAGAAGCUAAAAUGCUCAGGCUGACUGCUGUGAAUACAUAAAGCUCAAAACGAAUCUUUGUAAUAAUCAGAAAGUUUGACGGCAGAUAGAUGCCCCAAACGUUCAAACACAGUAACUCUCUCUCUAAGGUAAAUCAAACUGAAUUCUCAUUAAUUUUUUUUUCUCCUUACCUAAUCC